AAAUCAUGAUGAGGACACCUCCUCAAAAGCUCUUCAAAUCACUCUCAUGCCUCAAACAAGGAUUCUACUUCAUAUUGUUGGAAGCAACAUAUCUCCGUUAUAAGUUU